rnacentral:tRNA from 1 species
GGGGGUAUAGCCCAGUGGUAGAGCAUUUGACUGCAGAUCAAGAGGUCCCUGGUUCAAAUCCAGGUGCCCCCU